CCUAUGGGGUGCAGCAGGCGAGAAAACUUUGCAAUGUGCGAAAGCACGACAAGGUUAAUCCGAGUGGUUUCUGCUAAAGGAACCUUUUGUCAGUCCUAGAAACACUGAUGAAUAAGGGGUGGGCAAGUUCUGGUGUCAGCCGCCGCGGUAAAACCAGCACCUCAAGUGGUCAGGAUGAUUAUUGGGCCUAAAGCAUCCGUAGCCGGCUUUGUAAGUUUUCGGUUAAAUCCAUGCGCUCAACGUAUGGGCUGCCGGGAAUACUGCAAAGCUAGGGAGUGGGAGAGGUAGACGGUACUCGGUAGGAAGGGGUAAAAUCCUUUGAUCUAUUGAUGACCACCUGUGGCGAAGGCGGUCUACCAGAACACGUCCGACGGUGAGGGAUGAAAGCUGGGGGAGCAAACCGGAUUAGAUACCCGGGUAGUCCCAGCUGUAAACUAUGCAAACUCAGUGAUGCAUUGGCUUGAUGCCAAUGCAGUGCUGCAGGGAAGCCGUUAAGUUUGCCGCCUGGGAAGUACGUACGCAAGUAUGAAACUUAAAGGAAUUGGCGGGGGAGCACCACAAGGGGUGAAGCCUGCGGUUCAAUUGGAGUCAACGCCAGAAAUCUUACCCGGAGAGACAGCAGAAUGAAGGUCAAGCUGAAGACUUUACCAGACAAGCUGAGAAGUAGUGCAUGGCC
rnacentral:rRNA from 1 species